rnacentral:rRNA from 1 species
AUUGAACGCUGGCGGCAUGCUUUACACAUGCAAGUCGAACGGUAACAGGCCGCAAGGUGCUGACGAGUGGCGAACGGGUGAGUAAUGCAUCGGAACGUGCCCAGUCGUGGGGGAUAACUACUCGAAGGAGUAGCUAAUACCGCAUACGAUCUAUGGAUGAAAGCGGGGGACCGUAAGGCCUCGCGCGAUUGGAGCGGCCGAUGUCAGAUUAGGUAGUUGGUGGGGUAAAGGCUCACCAAGCCAACGAUCUGUAGCUGGUCUGAGAGGACAACCAGCCACACUGGGACUGAGACACGGCCCAGACUCCUACGGGAGGCAGCAGUGGGGAAUUUUGGACAAUGGGCGCAAGCCUGAUCCAGCAAUGCCGCGUGCAGGAAGAAGGCCUUCGGGUUGUAAACUGCUUUUGUACGGAACGAAACGGCUCUGGUUAAUACCCGGGGCUAAUGACGGUACCGUAAGAAUAAGCACCGGCUAACUACGUG